UCUGUGGAGACAGAUGGAAAACAACAUUGCAGACUCCGUGCUUGCGUGACAAUAUUGCCCAGUUUCCAGCAAUUAACAUUUACUGGAUAACAUCCAAAUGGAAGAGACUUCUCAAAAGCCUGAAACACUUCAAAGAAAGCAAACUUUAAAAGUCCAGAGUUUACAGAAUGAGCCACAGCGGACCCUGGCAACUGUGUAAAUGCUGGAAGAAGCUGAACCCUGACUGGGAAUGACACUCAACUACAGAAAAAAAGCCUGCGAUAGGAUGCUGAUACACAGUGAAGUGUAACUGCACCGUGAUAACCGUGGCCAAAUCCACAGGAUGCUCCUCAUUCAAUCCCCCUUUCCUGACAUCCCUCCAGUGGGUUUUGUUAAGUGAAAAGAAAGCCAUCAACUAAGUAAUUUGAAUAGAUUGAAUGUGCUAAGGAGAUCUUGAAGACUUGCCCAGUCAAGCCAGCAGCUUCCUGAGAUUCAAGGUGCCUUGGAGGCAGUCUUGGGCAUUCUGAACUUACUGGUGUUCAGAUUUACUAUAGUUGUUCCUUUUCUCAUGUUUUGGACUUGUAAGAAGCAGUGGGAAUUUAGAAAAUACUUUAAGAAACCACAAAAUGGUAACACUUCUGCAAAUUAGGAAAAAAGUGGCCUCUUUGUGUAGCACCUCAGUUCUUUUUUACAGAUCUGUACAAGUUCUUAGGUCUGGUUCUUUCUUUCAUUCCAAAUGCAAAAUCAAAUGCAUGUGUUGUAGCUGACACAUUCUAAUUGUGCACCUAAAGGUGUAACUUGUUUAGCCUGUUGGAUGACUAUGACAAACCAAGUAAUAACCUCUGGAGUUUGAACAAGACACUUACAUGUAAGUUUAUUUUGUCUUACUAUCAUAAUAAAAUUGUGAUGAAAAAAUUAAAAUUUAUGACCAGACUUACCCAA